rnacentral:rRNA from 1 species
UACGUAGGGUGCGAGCGUUAAUCGGAAUUACUGGGCGUAAAGCGUGCGCAGGCGGUUUUGUAAGCCAGAUGUGAAAUCCCCGGGCUUAACCUGGGAAUGGCAUUUGGGACUGCAAGGCUGGAGUGCGGCAGAGGAGACUGGAAUUCCUGGUGUAGCAGUGAAAUGCGUAAAUAUCAGGAGGAAUGAGCCGAUGGCGAAGGCAGGUCUCUGGGCUGACAUCUGACGCUCAUGCACGAAAGCGUAGGGGAGCGAAACAGG